rnacentral:rRNA from 1 species
UGUCUCCUUCUCUAGUCAUGAAAUUGAUCUCCCCGUGCAGAAGCGGGGAUACUAACAUAAGACGAGAAGACCCUAUGGAGCUUUAGACAAAGUGACAGCUCAUGUUAAAAAACCUCCAUCAAGAGGUAAAACCUCUUGAAUCCUGUCUCAAUGUCUUUGGUUGGGGCGACCACGGGGAAUCACAAAACCCCCGAGUGGAGCAAGAGUACUAGACUCUCAAAUCCAAGAGCCACAGCUCUAAGCAGCAGAAAAUCUGGCCUUAUAGAUCCGGCAACGCCGAUUAACGGACAGAGUUACCCUAGGGAUAACAGCGCAAUCCCUUCUAGAGCCCAUAUCGACAAGGGGGUUUAUGACCUCGAUGUUGGAUCAGGACAUCCUAAUGGUGCAGCCGCUAUUAAGGG